rnacentral:rRNA from 1 species
CACUGAGUGCGAAAGCGUGGGAGCAAACGGAUUAGAUACCCCGGUAGUCCACGCCGUAAACGAUGUCUACUAGCCGUUGGAGGACUUGAUCCUUUAGUGGCGCAGCUAACGCGAUAAGUAGACCGCCUGGGGAGUACGGUCGCAAGAUUAAAACUCAAAUGAAUUGACGGGGGCCCGCACAAGCGGUGGAGCAUGUGGUUUAAUUCGAAGCAACGCGAAGAACCUUACCUACUCUUGACAUCCAGUGAACUUUUGAGAGAUCAAUUGGUGCCUUCGGGAACACUGAGACAGGUGCUGCAUGGCUGUCGUCAGCUCGUGUUGUGAAAUGUUGGGUUAAGUCCCGUAACGAGCGCAACCCUUGUCCUUAGUUACCAUCAUUAAGUUGGGGACUCUAAGGAGACUGCCGGUGACAAACCGGAGGAAGGCGGGGACGACGUCAAGUCAUCAUGGCCCUUACGAGUAGGGCUACACACGUGCUACAAUGGCAUGUACAAAGGGUUGCCAAGCCGCGAGGUGGAGCUAAUCCCAUAAAGCAUGUCGUAGUCCGGAUUGGAGUCUGCAACUCGACUCCAUGAAGUCGGAAUCGCUAGUAAUCGUGAAUCAGAAUGUCACGGUGAAUACGUUCCCGGGCCUUGUACACACCGCCCGUCACACCAUGGGAGUGGGUUGCUCCAGAAGUAGAUAGCUUAACCUUCGGGAGGGCGUUUACCACGGAGUGAUUCAUGACUGGGGUGAAGUCGUAACAAGGUAGCCGUA